UCUCUGAAGGUCAGUGUUCUUCUGUACUGCUCUAUCAGAGAGCCGAGAGGAAGUAUCAGCUGGCUGUAAUCUGAUUUGUGUGGUGGACGUCUUAAUAUAGGCAACAUGACAAGACGGAAGGAGAAACUGCCAGCUCUUCAGUUCACUGCAUGUGUUCGGAAUAGCACACGU